UAGUACGGCGAGUGAAGCGGCAACAGCUCAAAUUUGAAAUCUGGCCUCGGCCCGAGUUGUAAUUUGCAGAGGAUGCUUCUGGCGCGGUGCCUUCCGAGUUCCCUGGAACGGGACGCCACAGAGGGUGAGAGCCCCGUAUGGUCGGACACCAAGCCUGUGUGAAGCUCCUUCGACGAGUCGAGUAGUUUGGGAAUGCUGCUCUAAAUGGGAGGUAAAUCUCUUCUAAAGCUAAAUACCGGCCAGAGACCGAUAGCGCACAAGUAGAGUGAUCGAAAGAUGAAAAGCACCUUGAAAAGGGGGUUAAAUAGUACGUGAAAUUGUUGAAAGGGAAGCACUUAUGACCAGACUUGGGCCGGGCGGCUCAUCAGGGGUUCUCCCCUGUGCACUCCGCCCGGCACAGGCCAGCAUCGGUUCUCGUGGGGGGAUAAGACCGUCAGGAACGUAGCACCCUCCGGGGUGUGUUAUAGCCUGGCGGACGAUACCCCCGUGGGGACCGAGGUCCGCGCUCCGCAAGGAUGCUGGCGUAAUGGUCAUCAGUGACCCGUCUUGAAACACGGACCAAGGAGUCGUCCAUUAGAGCGAGCGUUUGGGUGUAAAACCCGCACGCGUAAUGAAAGUGAACGCAGGUGAGAGCUUCGGCGCAUCAUCGACCGAUCCUGAUGUUCUCGGAAGGAUUUGAGUAAGAGUUUUAACGGACGGACCCGAAAGACAGUGAACUAUGCUUGUAUAGGGUGAAGCCAGAGGAAACUCUGGUGGAGGCUCGCAGCGGUUCUGACGUGCAAAUCGAUCGUCAAAUAUGAGCAUGGGGGCGAAAGACUAAUCGAACUGUCUAGUAGCUGGUUACCGCCGAAGUUUCCCUCAGGAUAGCAGUGUUGAUCUUCAGUUUUAUGAGGUAAAGCGAAUGAUUAGGGACUCGGGGGCUAUAUAUUGCCUUCAUCCAUUCUCAAACUUUAAAUAUGUAAGAAGCCCUUGUUACUUAAUUGAACGUGGGCAUUCGAAUGUACCAACACUAGUGGGCCAUUUUUGGUAAGCAGAACUGGCGAUGCGGGAUGAACCGAACGCGGGGUUAAGGCGCCAGAGUGUACGCUCAUCAGACACCACAAAAGGCGUUAGUACAUCUUGACAGCAGGACGGUGGCCAUGGAAGUCGGAAUCCGCUAAGGACUGUGUAACAACUCACCUGCCGAAUGUACUAGCCCUGAAAAUGGAUGGCGCUCAAGCGUACCGCCCAUACCCCGCCCCCAGGGUAGAAACGAUGCCCUGGGGAGUAGGCGGCCGUGGGGGUCUGUGACGAAGCCUAGGGCGUGAGCCCGGGUCGAACGGCCCCUAGUGCAGAUCUUGGUGGUAGUAGCAAAUACUUCAAUGAGAACUUGAAGGACCGAAGUGGGGAAAGGUUUCAUGUGAACAGCGGUUGGACAUGAGUUAGCCGAUCCUAAGCCAUAGGGAAGCUCCGUUUCAAAGUGCGCACUUGUGCGCCCCUCGGCGAAAGGGAAGCAGGUCAGUAUUCCUGCGCCUGGAUGUGGGUUUUGCGCGGCAACGCAACUGAAAGAGGAGACGGCGGCGGGGGCCCCGGGCAGAGUUAUCUUUUCUUCUUAACGGCCUGUCACCCUGGAAACAGUUUGUCUGGAGAUAGGGUUUAACGGCCGGAAGAGCCCGGCACUUCUGCCGGGUCCGGUGCGCCCUCGACGUCCCUUGA
rnacentral:rRNA from 1 species